AGUGAACGCUGGCGGUAGGCCUAACACAUGCAAGUCGAACGGCAGCACAGUAAGAGCUUGCUCUUACGGGUGGCGAGUGGCGGACGGGUGAGGAAUACAUCGGAAUCUACUUUUCGUGGGGGAUAACGUAGGGAAACUUACGCUAAUACCGCAUACGACCUACGGGUGAAAGCAGGGGAUCUUCGGACCUUGCGCGAUUGAAUGAGCCGAUGUCGGAUUAGCUAGUUGGCGGGGUAAAGGCCCACCAAGGCGACGAUCCGUAGCUGGUCUGAGAGGAUGAUCAGCCACACUGGAACUGAGACACGGUCCAGACUCCUACGGGAGGCAGCAGUGGGGAAUAUUGGACAAUGGGCGCAAGCCUGAUCCAGCCAUACCGCGUGGGUGAAGAAGGCCUUCGGGUUGUAAAGCCCUUUUGUUGGGAAAGAAAAGCAGCAGGUUAAUACCCCGCUGUGCUGACGGUACCCAAAGAAUAAGCACCGGCUAACUUCGUG
rnacentral:rRNA from 1 species